GACGAACGCUGGCGGCGUGCUUAACACAUGCAAGUCGAACGAUGAAGCCUUUCGGGGUGGAUUAGUGGCGAACGGGUGAGUAACACGUGGGCAAUCUGCCCUGUACUUUGGGAUAAGCCUUGGAAACGAGGUCUAAUACCGGAUAUGACUGGCCUUCGCAUGGGGGUUGGGUUGGUAAAGUUACUGCGGUACAGGAUGAGCCCGCCGGCCUAUCAGC
rnacentral:rRNA from 1 species